rnacentral:rRNA from 1 species
AGUGGGGAAUAUUGCACAAUGGGGGAAACCCUGAUGCAGCCAUGCCGCGUGUGUGAAGAAGGCCUUCGGGUUGUAAAGCACUUUCAGCGAGGAGGAAAGGGUGUAAGUUAAUACCUUACAUCUGUGACGUUACUCGCAGAAGAAGCACCGGCUAACUCCGUGCCAGCAGCCGCGGUAAUACGGAGGGUGCGAGCGUUAAUCGGAAUUACUGGGCGUAAAGCGUGCGCAGGCGGUUUGUUAAGCGAGAUGUGAAAGCCCCGGGCUCAACCUGGGAACCGCAUUUCGAACUGGCAAACUAGAGUCUUGUAGAGGGGGUAGAAUUCCAGGUGUAGCGGUGAAAUGCGUAGAGAUCUGGAGGAAUACCGGUGGCGAAGGCGGCCCCCUGGACAAAGACUGACGCUCAGGCACGAAAGCGUGGGGAGCAAACAGGAUUAGAUACCCUGGUAGUCCACGCCGUAAACGAUGUCUACUCGGAGUUUGGUGUCUUGAACACUGGGCUCUCAAGCUAACGCAUUAAGUAGACCGCCUGGGGAGUACGGCCGCAAGGUUA